AUGGAGCGCAGGGCCUACGCACGCGUGGGACUCCUCGGCAACCCCAGCGACGUCUACGGCGGCCGCGCCGUCUCCUUCGCCGUCGCCGGCCUCUGGGCCAUCGUCUGCCUCUGCCCCUUCGACCAGCUCCUCGUCCAGCCCCACCCGCGCCACGACCUCGUCGCCUUCCCCUCCCUCCACACCCUCGUAAGCACCCCUCCCCCUCCCCUCCCCCAUCCCUUGCAAUGGAUAUAG
rnacentral:rRNA from 1 species